GAUGGGCGGAGAGGGCGGGGACUAGGGGGCGGGGCCACGGCGACGUGCGGACGCAGGGAUUGGCCGUCGAGCGCACGCCCCGCCCUUCUGCGAGGAGGUCUGGGAAGUCGGAGCUUCCAUCACCGAUGAGAAACUUAGAGCAGAAUGAUGAACUGAUAGGUCCACAUUAGAAGUGCAGGGAGCCUCAUAUACAGCUCUCUGUUCCUGCACUUCUGCAUGAUAUGCAUAAGAUCUGUGCUGAUCUCCCUCUUCUAUUGUGGGGUUGCUGCACAGCUUCUCCGCAGCGGACUUCCUCGGUCACUGCCAGCCAGAGUUCUGAACUGAAUUGUGACGGAGCUUAUUAUUACAGGACUGUCCAUGAGAAAUUAUAGCUGUUACUCCUGUAAUUGUCUACCAAUACUGAAGCAGAGAGAUAAACAGAGUCCAGCAUGGCAGAUGAGAAAGUGAUGGCCUGGGUAGAAGAGAGAAGGGACUAAACAAUAAAGGAAUAUAAAUGCUCAAAAUCAGCAUGCCAAACAACGUUGUUUGACAGACCAGUGAUGUUUACCAGGCUGAUUUAAAGCUGAAUGAGGUGGUCGAUUUGGUGAGUAAUUACACUGAGGCUUGACAGGCCCGAGGAGCCAGAAGCUAAAUUAGAUUAUCAAGCACAAGAGGCCGAGUUAGCUGAGCUGCAUGUGCACAGCAUUUGUAUUUGAAAUAAAUAACCUGCAAUCAUUAUUUCUUCCAGAUGUCUACCGUAGGGGUCAGGUGUAAUGAAUACAAUAGUUUAAACAUAGACCUUGUGGUUUACAAAACUCUAAAACAGGGGAAGAGGUUGGUUUAUUUCUAGGGUGGUUCAACUGUCCGGCGCUCCUAGCUGGCAUGAAAUUUCCUCCACAUGAUUGCUCUGUCACUCAUAAUCUUGCCAUGGCCACUUCUCUUAUGACAGGAGUCUAGAAAGGUAGCA